rnacentral:rRNA from 1 species
UACGUAGGGUGCAAGCGUUAAUCGGAAUUACUGGGCGUAAAGCGUGCGCAGGCGGUUGUGCAAGACCGAUGUGAAAUCCCCGGGCUUAACCUGGGAAUGGCAUUGGUGACUGCACGGCCAGAGUGUGUCAGAGGGGGGUAGAAUUCCACGUGUAGCAGUGAAAUGCGUAGAGAUGUGGAGGAAUACCGAUGGCGAAGGCAGCCCCCUGGGAUAACACUGACGCUCAUGCACGAAAGCGUGGGGAGCAAACAGG